AAUGAACACAUGGUGAUAAAAACAAAGCUAUAUGUUAUUUCUUCUCACCUUUGUCGAGAAAAAAGAAAGAAACUAAGGAAAGAAGGCUUUGGAUAAUCGACCAUGGAGGUCUAAAAUUCAAGAUCUCAUUUGGAAGCUAUAGACUCGGGGAUCGUCAGCAACUUGUUACACUAUCACUAUCCACUGCUUGGUACUGUUAUGUUUUGGGUUAUUUUAUGGCAUGUGUAGAAUAGACCAGUGGCAGAAGAAUAUUUUGGUUAAUGUAUAUAAGCCAUGCGAAAAUGGCAUCUUUUGAAUGUGUACUUAUAGAAGUUUAAGUUGUAUCCCUGGCUGUCUUUAGUAUUUAUCUAAAUGAAUGUUCUUUAUUUCAAAAAAAAAAAUUCAAAUUUUUUUUUCUGUUCUGAUAUGAGUUUCAAGUCCGGUAAUGCCCCUUUACCUAUUCCGGCGACGGAUACGGGAUAGGGGUGUUACAAUCAGGUUUAGUAAUAAGGCACAAAAUCUAUUCCAUAAUUAUUAUCUUUUUCUCUUUCUAUAAAUUAUCAUUGUCAAA